AGCGAGCGGGAAGAGCUCAAAUUUAUAAUCUGGCACCUUCGGUGUCCGAGUUGUAAUCUCUAGAAAUGUUUUCCGCGCUGGACCGCACACAAGUCUGUUGGAAUACAGCGGCAUAGUGGUGAGACCCCCGUAUAUGGUGCGGAUGCCCAGCGCUUUGUGAUACAUUUUCGAAGAGUCGAGUUGUUUGGGAAUGCAGCUCAAAUUGGGUGGUAAAUUCCAUCUAAAGCUAAAUAUUGGCGAGAGACCGAUAGCGAACAAGUACCGUGAGGGAAAGAUGAAAAGCACUUUGGAAAGAGAGUUAACAGUACGUGAAAUUGUUGGAAGGGAAACGCUUGAAGUCAGACUUGCUUGCCGAGCAAUCGGUUUGCAGGCCAGCAUCAGUUUUCCGGGAUGGAUAAUGGUAGAGAGAAGGUAGCAGUUUCGGCUGUGUUAUAGCUCUCUACUGGAUACAUCUUGGGGGACUGAGGAACGCAGUGUGCCUUACGGCGGGGGUUUCGACCUCUUCACACUUAGGAUGCUGGUGGAAUGGCUUUAAACGACCCGUCUUG
rnacentral:rRNA from 1 species